CCUACGGGUGGCAGCAGUGAGGAAUAUUGCACAAUGGGCGCGACCCUGAUGCAGCCACGCCGCGUGAAUGAAGAAGUACUUAGUUGCGUAAAACUCUAUCAACAGAGGAGAAAAUGGCGGUACGUGAGUAAUAAGCCCCGGCUAACUACAUUCCAGCAGCCGCGGUACUACGUAGGGGGCCAGCGUUAUCCGGAUUUACUGGGUGUAAAGGGAGCGUAGACGGUUCGCUAAGUCUGGAGUGAAAUUUCGCAGCUGAACUGUGGAACUGAGUUGGAAACUGGCGAACUAGAGUGCGGGAGGGGUAAGCGGAAUUCGUAGUGUAGCGGUGAAAUGCGUAGAUAUCAGGAGGAACACCGGUGGCGAAGGCGGCUUACUGGACCGUAACUGACGUUGAGGCUCGAAAGUGUGGGGAGCAAACAGGAUUAGAUACCCCUGUAGUC
rnacentral:rRNA from 1 species